rnacentral:lncRNA from 1 species
AAUUUCAUACUGGCAUCGCCCUGUCACCUAAGCCAUAUUUUCUCCACUGAAGUAAUCAACCAGAGGGUACCCUGGUGCUGUAAUUCAAUGAUUGUUUCAGAGGCUGUGGGUUUUGUAAAUGCAUCCAUUUUUCAAUAUCCCCGCACUGAAGAACAAGCUUGGGUAAAGACGUGGGUAUCAUUCUUACUUGAUUAUGGAAACGGAUAGUUUGGUUCUAGUUCCCACAGCUGUUCUGCAAGUUUGCUUUGUCUUGGCAGUUUCCUUAACCCAAAUUCAGGUUGUAAAGACCGAACAUUCUUUUCUGUCACAGAGCAUUCCUGGUGAAGGCUUUUAUGUGUAAGUUGCACUUGACACGGGUUUUAGAGAGGAAAGGUAGGCAAAUAAAGAAUCGCACAAGAAGUAACAGGAGUGAGCUUCUGCUGGGGCCCUGAUAUUGAUUUGUGGAGCCCUGUGUCAUCCUACCUAUCUGGGCUGCUGUUCUGCCCUUUACAGAAUAUGGAUCAUGGGCCCUAUUGUCAAUCUGUGUAACCUAUGAAGUCACUCAUUAUAGAUAAAGAACCAGCAACGAGCCGAUGCACCCGCCACUCACAACCACAGCAGUAUCACAAAGAUCUGUAAGUGAGCUUCCCAAACGCCGUGGGAGGAAACCAGUGUCGAUACCCAGAGAAUUUAUACACAACAGGAAAAAGAAACCACUAAGAUGUGGCAGCCUCCGAUUUCCUCGCAAUCACCGUUCUUGAGAUUGGAGGUUCACGGCAGCGGUCCAUCGUCCUCCUGAACUGUACCCCAGAUCUCACAGGCACAGAGAAACGGGGCCAAUACUUUACUAGAAAAUAUUGGUCAAAAGGAAAGCAACCUGUCUCCAAAGUGAAUCUUACUGGAUAAAGUUUUUAAUAUUACCAACACCAAAAACAAUCAUUCUUCUCCAUACAAAUAGCACUAGGGAUUGGGACGGGGGCUUCCACGUGCCUCUGUUAUUAACCCCUGCUAUGCCCAGCUUUCAUUAGGUCCAGGAAGAAGCUCCCUCAUUUCUCGGAAAGUCCCUGCCUCUCUGAGCUGCCAGUAAAGGGGAGCCGUCCUGUAUUUGUGCUGUCCCCCGAUAGCUCAGCUGGUAAAGAAUCCACCUGCAAUGCAGGAGACCCCAGUUU